rnacentral:rRNA from 1 species
GAUGAACGCUGGCGGCGUGCCUAAUACAUGCAAGUCGAGCGAACAGAUGAGGAGCUUGCUCCUCUGACGUUAGCGGCGGACGGGUGAGUAACACGUGGAUAACCUACCUAUAAGACUGGGAUAACUUCGGGAAACCGGAGCUAAUACCGGAUAAUAUAUUGAACCGCAUGGUUCAAUAGUGAAAGACGGUUUUGCUGUCACUUAUAGAUGGAUCCGCGCCGCAUUAGCUAGUUGGUAAGGUAACGGCUUACCAAGGCGACGAUGCGUAGCCGACCUGAGAGGGUGAUCGGCCACACUGGAACUGAGACACGGUCCAGACUCCUACGGGAGGCAGCAGUAGGGAAUCUUCCGCAAUGGGCGAAAGCCUGACGGAGCAACGCCGCGUGAGUGAUGAAGGUCUUCGGAUCGUAAAACUCUGUUAUUAGGGAAGAACAAAUGUGUAAGUAACUAUGCACGUCUUGACGGUACCUAAGCAGAAAGCCACGGCUAACUACGUG